rnacentral:tRNA from 1 species
GUAAAUAUAGUUUAAUAAAAACACUAGAUUGUGAGUCUAACAACAGAAGAAUAGAGGCUUCUUAUUUACC